rnacentral:rRNA from 1 species
CCCAGCGCUGAAUCCCCCGGGCCUCGCCCGGGGGGAAAUGUAGCGUUUAGGAGGGCCCGUUAACACGACAGCACGAUCUUCGUUCAAGUCCAACUUGAAUGGGGUCACACAGAGGGUGAUAUGCCCGUAGAGCAGGAGCGUCUGUCGUGUGGGCCUCUCCUUAGAGUCGGUUUGCUUGAGAGUGCAGACCUAAGUGGGUGGUAAACUCCAUCUAAGGCUAAAUAUAACCACGAGACCGAUAGCACACAAGUACCGUGAGGGAAAGGUGAAAAGAACUUUGAAGAGAGAGUUCAAGAGUACGUGAAACUGAAAUGGUGUAAACGGACGAGACUGGAAAGUCCGACCGGUGAGAUUCAAGCCCUCUGCGCUGGUGGCCUGCGGGUAGAGAUGGUGUCGUCAGCUCGUGCCUUCGGGCGCGGGUCAUACUUCGCUACUCUGCCUGUGGGUAUCUUUCUGGCGCGGGGGGCUGCACUUCUCGCCUAGUAGGACGUCGCGACCCGUUGGGUGCCGUUCUAUGGCCCGUGGUGGAGGCCGUGCCGGAGCGUCGUUUCGGCGGCGUUGCUGUUGCACGGACCCGCGGCGACCUGAACGGCUGCCCGACGGUAGCAAAGCAUUGGGAAAGGGACCGCACAGAAGGCUGCGUCCGACGCUCGCUCACAGAGCUACGCUCGGACAGGUCCGUACCCGGUCAGCGGCGCUUCUGCUUCCGGUACUCGUCCGACCCGUCUUGAAACACGGACCAAGGAGUCUAACAUGUACGCGAGUCAUUGGGCUCUGCGAAACCUAAAGGCGAAAUGAAAGUAAAGGCUAGGCACUUGUGCCAAGCUGAGGGGUGAUGGCCGUCCCUCGUGGGCGGCCCGCAACCCCGGGGCGUCGCGUUCUCUUUGAGAAGUGGCGCACCCAGAGCGUACACGUUGGGACCCGAAAGAUGGUGAACUAUGCCUGGCCAGGACGAAGUCAGGGGAAACCCUGAUGGAGGUCCGUAGCGAUUCUGACGUGCAAAUCGAUCGUCGGAGCUGGGUAUAGGGGCGAAAGACUAAUCGAACCAUCUAGUAGCUGGUUCCCUCCGAAGUUUCCCUCAGGAUAGCUGGCGCUCGGAGGAAAGAGUUUCAUCCGGUAAAGCGAAUGAUUAGAGGCCUUGGGGCCGAAACGACCUCAACCUAUUCUCAAACUUUAAAUGGGUGAGAACUCCGGCUUGCUUCGGUGAAGCCGCGAGUGUUCUUCACGAAUCAGAGUGCCAAGUGGGCCAAUUUUGGUAAGCAGAACUGGCGCUGUGGGAUGAACCAAACGCAGAGUUAAAGCGCCUAAAUCGACGCUCAUUGGAAACCAUGAAAGGCGUUGGUUGCUUAAGACAGCAGGACGGUGGCCAUGGAAGUCGGAAUCCGCUAAGGAGUGUGUAACAACUCACCUGCCGAAGCAACUAGCCCUGAAAAUGGAUGGCGCUGAAGCGUCGUGCUUAUACUCUGCCGUCAGGGCAAGAGAGUCGGCCUCCGUGCCGGCAUGAAGCCCUGACGAGUAGGAGGGUCGCGUCGGUGUGCGCAGAAGGGUCUGGGCGUGAGCCUGCCUGGAGCCGCCGACGGUGCAGAUCUUGGUGGUAGUAGCAAAUACUCCAGAGAGGUCCUGGAGGGCUGAUGUGGUAGAAGGGUUUCGUGUGAACAGCCGUUGCACACGAGUCAGUCGAUCCUAAGCCCUAGGAGAAAUCCGAAGUAGAUGCGCUAGUCUGAACACUGUUUAUGUAUGACGACAGCCAUCGGGCGAAAGGGAAUCCGGUUCCUAUUCCGGAACCCAGCAUCGGAACCGUCCUUUCGGGUCCUCAAAACUCGUCAGGGUAACCUAACAUGCCCCGGAGACGCCGUCGGGAGCUGCCGGAAGAGUUAUCUUUUCUGUAUAAGUGCGCACACCCCCUGGAAGCCUCUAGCAGGGAGAUAGGGGGCAGCGCGCGAAGAGCAUCGCACUUGUGGCUUUGUCGGCAGCGUCCUCUCGGACCUUGAAAAUCCGGGUGAGGGCCACGUGGACAUCCGAUCUGGUUCGUACCCAUAUCC